rnacentral:sRNA from 1 species
GUGCACAGAGCCUGGCGAGCAUAUUCCAGGCUCGAGGAGGGUUCCCAAGGCAGGGAGAAGUUGGCGGGUGGGCAGGGCUGUGCUUUGAGGGCUGACGUUGGACGUGGGGUUCACUGGGCCCAAAUCCUAUGGCACUUUACAGGCCUCAGUGAGGAACUUUGUUCCUAGGGCAGCGCGGAGCCACCAAAGGCUUUGAGUGGGAAAGGGGCCUGAUGUGAAUAGUGACGUUGAAAGCUCUGUCUGGCUUCGGGGCCACGGGAUUGAAUGGGGUCUGGAGGGCAGAUCAGCAGAGAGGGUGGGGGUGGCUCAGAAUUACAGUCACCUGUCCCCUGCCCAACACCCGGCCAGGCCAGGAGGUGGCCUGUGAGUGACCACCCCCGGGGAGGUGGACGGGUCUCUAAUGUUUCCCUCACUCCCCACCAGGUCCCAUGUGUGACCUGCUCUGGUCAGAUCCACAGCCGCAGGUGAGUCUAGGGUGGGGUGCAGGGCCGGCGGGUGUGGGCUGUGGGCAGCAGGUGGAGGCAGACAGUCACUCUGAACCCCUCUCUCUCCCAUCUGCCCACCCUCAGAACGGGCGCUCGGUCAGCAAGCGGGGCGUGAGCUGUCAGUUUGGGCCUGACGUCACCAAGGCCUUCUUGGAAGAGAACAACCUGGACUAUAUCAUCCGCAGCCACGAGGUCAAGGCCGAGGGCUACGAGGUGGCUCACGGAGGCCGCUGUGUCACCGUCUUCUCUGCCCCCAACUACUGCGACCAGAUGGGGAACAAAGCCUCCUAUAUCCAUCUCCAGGGCUCUGACCUACGGCCUCAGUUCCACCAGUUCACAGCAGUGCCUCAUCCCAACGUCAAGCCCAUGGCCUACGCCAACACGCUGCUGCAGCUGGGAAUGAUGUGAGGAGGCGGGCGGGGCGGCCUGCACCCCAGGGACCCUCCACUCCCACCGGACCUGGGCCCUGGGCCCGGGGCAGAGCAGGCCCCGCCCCAGGGCAACGUUGGACCCCCUUUUACUUUGUAAAGUUUGUAUUUAUUCCCCUUUAGGUUUGCAGAGGGGGUAGGGGCAGAGUCAGGGGCUGGCCAGAGGGUCUGCUCCCUGGACAGAGAGGAAGGAGGUGGAGCAGCUGGGGCUGGGGGCACAGCCCUGGCAUUCUGUAGGGAGGCC